UACGUAGGGUGCGAGCGUUAAUCGGAAUUACUGGGCGUAAAGGGCGCGUAGGCGGCCUGCUAAGUCGAACGUGAAAUCCCCGAGCUCAACUCGGGAACUGCGUCCGAUACUGGCGGGCUUGAAUCCGGGAGAGGGAUGCGGAAUUCCAGGUGUAGCGGUGAAAUGCGUAGAUAUCUGGAGGAACACCGGUGGCGAAGGCGGCAUCCUGGACCGGCAUUGACGCUGAGGCGCGAAAGCUAGGGGAGCAAACGGG
rnacentral:rRNA from 1 species